GACUCUCUUAAGGUAGCCAA
rnacentral:ncRNA from 2 species